GUCUUUUUAGGACCACACCUGAGGCAUAUGGAGGGUCCCAGGCUAGGGGUCAAAACGGAGCUUAGCUACCAGCCACAGCCACAGCCAUAGCAACGUGGCUUCUGAGCCGCAUCUGUGACCUACACCACAGCUCACAGCAAUGCCAGAUCCUUAACCCACUGAGUGAGGCCGGGGAUCGAACCCACAACCUCAUGGAUACUAGUCAGGUUCAUUAACCACUGAGCCACGACGGCAGGGAGGGAGGGGACCUGGGCCAGCCUCCACUUUCCCCUGGCCUCCUGCCCCUCCCCCAGCAAGCCUCCGAAACAAUUCACAUUCCCCCCUCUAAGGUUUCAGCUGUUCUAGGACUCAAUUCAUUCCCUGCUCUAUUUUUCUUCUUCUUUUGCAAUCUCCAAGAAACCCGAACUGCCAGAUGGGUGGGGGCAAUGAUUGUUUUCUGUCUCACAUCUGGAUUUCAUUAGCAGCCCAGGGCAUGCUGACUCAGGAAUGGCAGCUCCCCUGGGCUCAGGCCCUCCCCGGACCCCUCACAGUGCCCGGUCCUUAGCUGGACAGGGGAGGCACACCCCUCAGACCUCCCUCGAAGGAGUAACCAGCCCCAGAAUAUCUUGGGAGUGGUGAGGCUAGGGCUUCAAGAAUUCCUGCUCUCAGCUCAGUGCCUGCCGGGUGGCUGCCAGCUGGGAUUGGCUGGGCCUGACCAUCAUGAAGAGUGACAGAGGGCUUAGGGGAAGGACCCAGGGUCUUGGAUAUACUGCCCCCAUCUACACUUCAGUCUCUAUUCCCACAGAGGUGCUGAGUGGGCCACCAAGGAAAGGGAAACUUGCACUGACCUCAAAUUGCAGAGCUAUUUUGGAGAGGAGGAAGGGCAGCCCAGAGAAGUUAAGUGACUUGUCCAAGGUUGCACAGCUGGUAAAUAGUAGAGGAGGAACUUGAACUCUGGUUUUUGAGAUAUAAAUUUGAAGCUGUUUCCUUUGACCUCAACAAGAUGUCCCUUCACUAACAUCGGGGUCCUUACUGUUGGCAUAGGGACCCUCAAUCCUUUCUGAACUUUAGAGGAAAAGUAAUAUCUGAAAGUUUCAGAGCCUAUUAUCCAUCAGAGAGGUCCGCAGUUUAUGUCCAACCUAAAGCAGCCCUAGACUCUCUUCAGGACCAUAUUAGGACUUAUGGGCCGCCUCCUCCAUAAAAAGUGAUUUAACAUUCUAUUUUAUUUUAUGACUGUAUUGAUAUAAAGAUAAAUAUUACCCAGGCUGCAUUCAUUAUUACAUGCUCAUUAUUAUUACACUCAUUUUUUCCUUCUGGUUUUAAAAUAAAUGAAAAUUACAACAUUUUUUGUGGGCCCCUAAAAGAAUUGUGGGCUCUCGGUGCUGCGCCUGCUGCUUCUCCUUGGAGAAGGUGGCCUGGCACUCGGUCAAAGCACUCGUGCUCUGCAGGGCACUUCUUGCCCUCUCAUAUCUUCUUAUUUUCUUAUUGAUUUGUGCUUAUUGUUUGACUUCACCGUAAGUAUAAGUACCAAGAGAGUGGGAACCCUUCCUGGUUUGUUGACUGUGGCAUCCUCAAGUUCUACUAUGCCAAGCACAUAGUAGGUGUUCAAUAAAUAUUUGCUGCAUGAAUAAAUGAAGAGACUAUCUUCUCAGGCAGGUGUAUUUGUACCCCAGGUAGCGGCACCCCAUUGGCCCCGGUGGCUAAUUCAGGGAUCUGUUACCCCUCUUGAUACCUUAUCCCUCUCCCCUCACCUGCCUGGUCCCCAUGUCCCAUAGAUGCUACUUUCUCAUCAUGUCUGGAAUGUGUCCCCUCACCUCCGACUUUCACUCACCCUUGCCUUAUGUCUGGUCUUAUCAUAUAUCCACGUUCCUGGACUGGUUUCGUCUGCAGUCUUGCCUCCUCCAGCUUGGCCUACAAACUGCCACCAGCGUGAUCUUUCAAAAUGCCAAUCUGAGCAUGUCACCUAAAACCCUUGGAUGGCUUCUCCUUGCCCUCCAGAUAAAGUCCAAGUUUGUGCAGGCUGGCACACAGGUCCUUCACCACCUGCUGCAGCCACACCUCCCGCUCCUCCCCUCAGGCACCCAGAGUGCCAGCCAUCGCCAAGGGCUCGUGGUUCCCGGAAACCUAACCCCCACUAUUUACACACUUGCUUGGAAGCCUUCCCUGCCCCGGGCCCAGGCUCCUCCUUUCUGCGGCCUCCCAUGAAGCCCUGGCUCCCAUGAAGCCUUAAUUGCUCACUGCCAACCUCAUCUCUAGGCCUGAACGGCCAAUAGUGCUCUUGUUGUCCACUCUGUCCCACUGAGGACAGAGGUCAGGCUUUAUCUAGCACAGGCCUGACACAUAGUAGGAGCUCAGGAAGAACUGGGUGAUUAUACUGAGUGCUGGGCCCGUCUCUGUCCUGGACAGAUUGUGUGUCCUGGGCACAGAUGUGGCACUGAAUCAAGGGCCCCACAAUCACACACCAUGUGGACAAGUGUGGCUGGCUUAGAGCAAUUUGUGCCAUAUUGGUGUGCAGAAGCCAAUGUGAGAGGCACAGGUGACCCUGCAGGCAGCCCCAACAGAGUAUCAUGACUCCCCUACAGCCACCUAGGGUUUCUCAGUCAUUGGAUCUGGCAGGCCCAGACCACCCCUAGCCUCCUUGACUACAAGAGGGCCAGCAAAUACCCUGGGGCUGGACCAGUGGUGGAAUCUACCAGACACAACAACUUGGUUAGACCAGGCCUAAUAUGACUUUUGCCAGUAUUGUCUUUAUCCUUCUUUAUUUCCAGCAGCCUAUCUUUUUAAAGAACCCUGACUUUCUGAGAAUGAUGGUAGAGAUCAAAGUCUAGAU
rnacentral:lncRNA from 1 species